GUGUCGGGAAAUCAUGCCUCUUGCUACAGUUCACAGAUAAAUGGUUUAUGGCUGUUCAUGAUUUGACAAUCGGUGUGGAGUUCGGGGCAUGGAUGAUUACCAUUGAAAACAAAAAGAUCAAACUGCAGAUUUGGGAUAUGGCUGGCCAGGAAUCCUUCAGUUCGAUCACCCGCUUGUAUUACUGAGGAACAGCUGGGGC